UGAGCAGAAUGGAACUUCACAAGCAA
rnacentral:piRNA from 1 species